rnacentral:rRNA from 1 species
AGAAACCAACAGGGAUUACCUCAGUAACGGCGAGUGAAGCGGUAACAGCUCAAAUUUGAAAUCUGGCUCUUUCAGGGUCCGAGUUGUAAUUUGUAGAAGAUGCUUCGGGUGUGGCUCCGGUCUAAGUUCCUUGGAACAGGACGUCAUAGAGGGUGAGAAUCCCGUAUGUGACUGGUUGCCUUCGCCCAUGUGAAGCUCUUUCGACGAGUCGAGUUGUUUGGGAAUGCAGCUCUAAAUGGGUGGUAUAUUUCAUCUAAAGCUAAAUAUUGGCCAGAGACCGAUAGCGCACAAGUAGAGUGAUCGAAAGAUGAAAAGCACUUUGGAAAGAGAGUUAAACAGUACGUGAAAUUGUUGAAAGGGAAGCGCUUGCAACCAGACUUGCGCGCCGUUGAUCAUCCUGGGUUUUCCCUGGUGCACUCGGCGGCGCUCAGGCCAGCAUCGGUUUCGGUGGUUGGAUAAAGGCCUUGGGAAUGUGGCUCCUCUCGGGGAGUGUUAUAGCCCUCGGUGCAAUGCAGCCUACCGGGACCGAGGACCGCGCUUCGGCUAGGAUGCUGGCGUAAUGGUUGUAAGCGACCCGUCUUGAAACACGGACCAAGGAGUCUAACAUCUAUGCGAGUGUUUGGGUGUUAAACCCAUACGCGUAAUUAACGUGAACGGAGGUGAGAACCCUUUAGGGUGCAUCAUCGACCGAUCCUGAUGUCUUCGGAUGGAUUUGAGUAAGAGCAUAGCUGUUGGGACCCGAAAGAUGGUGAACUAUGCCUAAAUAGGGUGAAGCCAGAGGAAACUCUGGUGGAGGCUCGCAGCGGUUCUGACGUGCAAAUCGAUCGUCAAAUUUGGGUAUAGGGGCGAAAGACUAAU